rnacentral:lncRNA from 1 species
ACUUUAAUUAAUUCGUUUUAAAAUUAAAAAACUUUAAAUAUCAUCCAGAUGGUUUUGUUUUUUUUUAUUUUAGCAUUACUUGAUUUAAAAUAUAUCAAUUUAAUAUUCGUAUUUUUAUUUUUUUAUUAUUUUUUUAUUAUUUCUUUGUUAAAUCAGUGAUAAAAUUAAAACUAAAAAGUAUUAAAGUGAAUAUUCGAUAAAUCUAGAUGGGAUAUCUGAAAUUUUUUUGUAUAUAAUUUAACGAAAUAUUAAUGAAGGAGACGGUGAAAAGAGGAAAAUAAAAUUACAGAAUAUUGAAUUGAUAUACUUUAAACUAUAUGAUACUAAAGUGAGAAAGUGUAAAACCAUAGUGAAGGUAUUUAAAGUUUAACCUUCUAAAAUU